rnacentral:lncRNA from 1 species
CCGAAAUAUCCAAAGUAAUCCGAAAUAUCCAAUUUUUUUAUCUAAAUCAUCCUAAUUAUUUGAUAUUUUACCUUAAAUAACCAAUAUUUUGUCCAAAUUAUCCGAAGUACCCGAACUAUCCGAACCCGAACCGGAUCCAAAUGAGAACCGAACUUUUUCCGGAUAUUUUCCGGUUCCUACAUUUACUAUCCGAACCGAACCGAACCCGAAACUAUCCGAACCGAACCGAACCGAAAAUAGGUCAAGUACUAAAUGGAUCUUCUAGCUACUAUCCGAACUACCCGAAACCCGAAAUACCCGAACCGAACCGAACCGAUACCCG